GAACAACGAAAAUUUUUAUGUCCAUUAUACUUCCAAUAUCUUACAAGAAAUUUAAAAAUGUGUGCUAUAAAAAUAAAUAUGAAUCCAUUGGCAACAAAAAACUUCUUAAUUUAUGUUAGAGUAAACGACAAAUAGAUUCCUGAAGACAAAUAAGUUAUCGACUAAUUAAAAAUAUAACAAUGUUUUUUACUUUUUAAAACGCGAGACAUCUAAGUUCCUCCGGGGGACCGAUUUGUCCUUAUAUAUUUUAGACGGAGGAACUUAAAUGUCUCGUAUUUUAAAAAGUCAGAGACGUUUUUGUAUUUUCAAUUAGUCAAUGACUUAUGUGUCUUUGAAUUAAAAAAUUAGAGACCUAUUUGUCUUUUUCUCUUUUUGUUAAAACCUUUUGCUUUGGCAUUUUACUUCUAAGAAGAAGAAUCCAAAUUAACAUUGCUCUUCUCUUAAAUCUUGCAUUCAUCAAAUACACUAUACAAAGUAACUAGUGGCUGGCUCUA